rnacentral:rRNA from 1 species
GAUGAACGCUGGCGGCGUGCUUAACACAUGCAAGUCGAACGGACUUUUAUUGAAACCUAGUGAUAUAAAAGUUAGUGGCGGACGGGUGAGUAACGCGUGAAUAACCUGCCUUAUACUGGGGGACAACAGUUGGAAACGACUGCUAAUACCGCAUAAGCGCACAGCUCCGCAUGGAGCAGUGUGAAAAACUCCGGUGGUAUAAGAUGGAUUCGCGUCUGAUUAGCUAGUUGGUGAGGUAACGGCUCACCAAGGCGACGAUCAGUAGCCGGUCUGAGAGGAUGAACGGCCACAUUGGGACUGAGAUACGGCCCAG